rnacentral:lncRNA from 1 species
CUGACUCUAAGCAGGUCAUCUGUAAUCUCAUAAACUCACCUGUCAAGUGGCAAUCAGAGUACCUUUUUCCCAGGGAUUACAUUGUCUGUUUUGCCUAUUGGAAACACUUCUGGCCAGAGCUUUGAGACACUGCUCCUGAUUACACUGGCACCUUUGCCCACCAAAAGGGAAUGUAGUUGUAUGAUGUUCAUGGAUCCAGGAUUUGGAUCUGACUCCUGGUCCAAACCUGAGUUCCUCUCUUGGGUACUCACGUCAUAAUGAGGUAGACCUUAAGAUAUGGAAACCCAAAGCAUGGAGGAUUUGAACCCUCAGGGAAGGUGCGACUGCACAGAAACACUGGAAAAGAAAAAUCCGUAAUAUCAGUCUGUGGACACACUGAGGCAAACCUAGCAGGUAUUUUGAAGAUGCCCCAAAUUCAUAUGAGAAUCUUUUCUAUGGAAAUGCAACACAGGAGGAAACUCAGCUUUCUAUUGAAAAGAAUAUUUCACUGGAAAAAAUGUGACUGUUUUUGAUUCUUAUGCCCUUAAAUUACCAUUGUUUACCAUUUUAAAUUUGGUAUUAAUUACUCAUAAUUCUUUUAAAUGCUUUAGUCAUACAUUCAAGAAAUGCACAUAAGCAAUGAGCCUUAGAUGACCAGUAUGUUUUCACUGCUUGUUAAAACUUGC